UACGUAGGUGGCAAGCGUUGUCCGGAAUUAUUGGGCGUAAAGGGCUCGCAGGCGGUUUCUUAAGUCUGAUGUGAAAGCCCCCGGCUCAACCGGGGAGGGUCAUUGGAAACUGGGAAACUUGAGUGCAGAAGAGGAGAGUGGAAUUCCACGUGUAGCGGUGAAAUGCGUAGAGAUGUGGAGGAACACCAGUGGCGAAGGCGACUCUCUGGUCUGUAACUGACGCUGAGGAGCGAAAGCGUGGGGAGGCGAAC
rnacentral:rRNA from 1 species